AUAUUGCGCAAUGAGGGGAACCUUGACGCAGCAACGCCGCGUGAGCGACGAAGGCCUUNGGGUCGNANAGCUCUGUCUUAAGGGANAGUAAUGAAAGUACCUUAAGAGGAAGCCCCGGCUAACUACGUGCCAGCAGCCGCGGUAAUACGUAGGGGGCGAGCGUUGUCCGGAAUUAUUGGGCGUAAAGGGUGCGUAGGCGGCCUUUUAAGUCAGGUGUGAAAGCCCACGGCUUAACCGUGGGAUUGCAUUUGAAACUGGAAGGCUUGAGUAUCGAAGAGGGUAGUGGAAUUCCCAGUGUAGCGGUGAAAUGCGUAGAUAUUGGGAGGAACACCAGUGGCGAAGGCGACUACCUGGGCGAUAACUGACGCUGAUGCACGAAAGCUAGGGGAGCAAACA
rnacentral:rRNA from 1 species